UACGAAGGGUGCAAGCGUUAAUCGGAAUUACUGGGCGUAAAGCGUGCGUAGGCGGUUUGUUAAGUCUGUUGUGAAAUCCCCGGGCUCAACCUGGGAAUGGCAAUGGAUACUGGCAAGCUAGAGUGUGUCAGAGGAUGGUGGAAUUCCCGGUGUAGCGGUGAAAUGCGUAGAGAUCGGGAGGAACAUCAGUGGCGAAGGCGGCCAUCUGGGACAACACUGACGCUGAGGCACGAAAGCGUAGGGAGCAAACAGG
rnacentral:rRNA from 1 species